GACAGAGGCCUCGAGCGUUAGGCGGAAUCACUGGGCUUAAAGCGUGUGUAGGCGGGCCCGUAAGUACCUUGUGAAAUCUCCCGGCUUAACUGGGAGGGGUCCUGGAAAACUGUCAGGCUUGAGGCAGGGAGAGGGAUGUGGAAUUCCCGGUGUAGUAGUGAAAUGCGUAGAUAUCGGGAGGAACACCAGUGGCGAAGGCGGCAUCCUGGACCGGUAUUGACGCUGAUGCGCGAAAGCCAGGGGAGCAAACGGG
rnacentral:rRNA from 1 species